rnacentral:rRNA from 1 species
UACGGAGGAUCCAAGCGUAUCCGGAUUUAUUGGGUUUAAAGGGUGCGUAGGUGGUUUUUUAAGUCAGGGGUGAAAGACGGCAGCUUAACUGUCGCAGUGCCUUUGAUACUGAAGAACUUGAAUUAACUAGAGGUAGGCGGAAUGUGACAAGUAGCGGUGAAAUGCAUAGAUAUGUCACAGAACACCAAUUGCGAAGGCAGCUUACUAUGGUUAUAUUGACACUGAGGCACGAAAAGCGUGGGGGAUCAAAACAGG